UCGAGACUGGCUUCUUAUUCUUCUGGAAGCGCCCUCAGCCGCGCAGAAAGAGACGGUGACCGAACGCCGUAUAAGUACGCCUCGCUUCUUCCCCCCGAAAUCCCAAAUUCUAGGGUUUCAAAAAAAACUCUCUGAUCCUCAAAUUCUAGGGUUUCGAAGAUGAUCGAAGUGGUUCUCAACGAUCGAUUGGGGAAGAAGGUGCGCGUGAAGUGCAACGAGGACGACACCAUCGGCGACCUAAAGAAGCUCGUGGCGGCUCAAACGGGUACACUCUCAAGGACUAUGAGAUCCAUGAUGGCAUGGGACUCGAGCUCUACUACAAUUGAUGGCAAUGGAGGUGCACUGACAUUGAGAUAUGAGAACAUGUAGCUGUGUGGUUCUUCGGAGUUGUUUGGAUAAUAAUCCUAUAACCGUGAAACUUCUGUUAAUCAUGAGUGAAUGAUCUUUAUGUCAAGGGAGUGCUUUCUAUGUUUUAAUGAUAUGUAUUCGCUGAGUUAUCUUGUCUUGUUGCUUUUCAAUUCA